rnacentral:rRNA from 1 species
ACGAACGCUGGCGGCGUGCUUAACACAUGCAAGUCGAACGGAAAGGCCCUGCUUGCCGGGUACUCGAGUGGCGAACGGGUGAGUAACACGUGGGUGAUCUGCCCUGCACUUCGGGAUAAGCCUGGGAAACUGGGUCUAAUACCGGAUAGGAGCCAUUUUUAGUGUGAUGGUUGGAAAGUUUUUUCGGUGUAGGAUGAGCUCGCGGCCUAUCAGCUUGUUGGUGGGGUAAUGGCCUACCAAGGCGGCGACGGGUAGCCGGCCUGAGAGGGUGGACGGCCACAUUGGGGCUGAGUGCGGCCCCGGACUCCGCGGGGGGGCGGAGGGGGGGAUUAUGGCAAAAGGGGCCAAAGCGUGUGCCGGCGCCCCCGGGUGGGGGGUGCGGUCUUGGGGGUUGAAACCUCUUUCGCGUGGGAAGAAAGUUUUUGGGGAGGGAACCUAGAAAAGAGGCCCCGACAAGCACCGGC